AGGAAACUAGUUUUUGUGUCAGAUUGCAAAAUUUUAAUGAGUAAGACAAAGAAAAUUUUAAAGAUUAAAGCAGGGGACUGAGACGAAUUUAAAGUCAGUAAGUCAAAAAGGAAUAACUUAGAUUUUUAAACGAAAUGUCAGCUUCAACUAACCACGCCUUAUGGAAAGAUAUAUUAGGAAGAGAGUUGAAGAUUCAGCUCCAGCAUCCUUCAAAAGUUUACGCAAGAAACUGUCCAAAAUGCACUCCACCCACGACAGAGCAGCCCCUCCAGAACUUGAUGCCAAUUGGAAGAGUUGUGAUUUCAUCUAAUUUUCCGUGUUGUGAGAAGAAAACUGAUGGUACGGAAGAAGAUGCCAAAUGCGAAAAGUGUAACGGAAAAGUCACUGUCUUCAGCUAUAGAGUCUGCAAGUGUGGAUGCAAGCCCCUCCAGUGAUCAAAAGCUAAAAGGUUUAUAUGCUGGAGUAUACAGUCUGAAGAAUAUCUUAGAGAUGUGAAGCAAAGAUUGCGGUCUAACAUUUUCAAAUUACUAUAAAAUUUCUUAGAUUGGACGACAAAAGAAAAAGUAAAAAUCAUCUACACUUGGAUAAGUUUCCUACAAUGAAAUUAUUUUAUAACAUGUUUGCCGUACAUUUGCCAAAUAUGCUUCGUGGUUAUGAAAAUAUUAUAGACGAACAGCUGUACCAUUUCGCAAUAAAUAAUCAACUUUGUCAUCAAAGCCAAAGGUAAAAUAAUAUUGAUAUCAAAAUAUAAAACAUGUUAUGUGUUUGUCGGUUGGUUCAAAGGCCCCAUAACAUCGGUGCAGGGGGAGGAUUAGAGAGUUGACUGCAUCAGGCAUAAAUAUUAAUAACAGCAUCUUCAAUUUCCUGUUGAAACAGUAAUUUUUUGUUCAUAUUUUAUAAAUCUUGCACGAACUGACAUUACAGUUCAAUAUAUCGAUUGCAAUGUUAUAAAAUCUUAAAACAAUGCCUUGAUUUAAUAUUCGAUCUUUUUUCAAGAUAAAACGAUUGAAGAGACAGUUUGUUAACUUCCACUAAAGUGUCUUUAAUAAUGCAUAGAAUUAUGAGGAGGGGAGAUAUUUACGAAAUGUGAAUGUAAAUGAGGGGACAGCAGAUGAAACAUCGUAAGCAUCUUCAACUUUUGUAGAGUGUAACGUAUUACCAUAUUAUGCCGAUUUCAAAAGAAACUGCUAAAAAUGGUUGUUGCACUUUUUUUUAAUGCUGUUUCGGCAUAUAUAAGUUAUAGAAACUAUUAGAAGAAACUAAUUGUGCAGAUAAUUGAUGGCGCUUCUGUCCAAAUGUAACUGCUGUUCACUAUGUUACAGUCAUAAACUAAAUUCAGUUUUAUCCUAAGCUGCUAAUCAUAUUAAAGAAUGUAAAUGACAUACACGUUAUCACGAAAUCUGGAAUUCAAUUUAUUUUCCUCUUAUUCCAAUGUUCGAACACACGCUUUAAGAAAUUAAAAAUAAAACAAACUUCAAAAGAGCCACCAACAAAAUGGAAUUUCUUUUAGGCUUAUAAACACUGUUAUAUAAUACAGAGCAAGUCUUGAAUAUUUUUUUUUUUUCAUCAAUCGAAAAUAAACCUCAUAACUGGGCAGGUAAUGAAACGAGUACUGCUUCGGGGUUUUAUUUACUUUCUACCUAACAUAAGAACAAAUAUUUUUACUGCUACUUAUUGUCAAAAUUUUUAGACGUGACAUAUAUUGCAACACAAAAGAGUAACUAUUUUCACUUCACAAAGAAAGCCUAUAAAUUCUUUUUUAAAAAAGGGGUGAGAGAUUUUGAUGAAGUGUAAAUGCAAAAUAUUUGCAUUGCAUCGCAUUACAUAGUAUAAUAGUCGUCGGUGUCGGUCACUGGUAAAGUUUUAUGUUGACACUCACAUACAGUUUACAUAUGAGGUGGAGGUUGCAUCGCGAAUACAAAUAGGCAACCAAAAUUAGCAUAAAACGCAAUCCCACAGUCAUACCACAAUGCCUUAAAAAGAGGCAUGCCGAAUCUAUGCGUCAGUUCGCAGCCAGCGAUAGCUCUGUAUAAUCCAAAAUAGCCAAAGCGGAAAGCAUGAGCCAAAGAGCUAGACAAGCAAAGAGCCAAAAUGAGCUAGACGGCUGUCGAGAUGUUGCAAAAGAGCUGAAUGUGGAUCGUACUGCCAUCAAUAGGCUGUGAAUUGUUAUCAAAGGAAUUAAAAUUCCUAUAGAAUACAUGGGUCUGGAAGCCGAAUGAUUCCACAUUGGCAGGCGAUCACUUCCUGUUGCUAUGUGCAAAAUGCUGUAGACACCAACAGCACGACAGCGGGCGUUGCAUCGCUCUGCUGCUACAGGAAGGACAAUAUUUCUCCAAACUGUAUCACAUCAGCUGCAUAAAAGUGGACUAUAUGCACGACGACUUGUAAUUUGUGUUCCUUUGUUUCCCAUUGCAUGUCAAAGUGUGGUUGAAUUGGGCCAGUGAACAUCGCAGUUGGACACCAGAGCAAUGUAACUACGUGAUCUUUAUAGAUGAAUCUCGAUUUAACACCCAGAACGAUUCCUGCAGUAUAAUGAUAUGGCGAGAGCCAGGGACACACAAUUGGAAGCCAAAUAUUGCCGAAAGAGACAAUUACAGAGGAGGAGGCUUACUUGUAUGAGCUGGGAUAGCAACGAACGACUGCACCGGCCUCUACCUGAUCCGAUCACAGACGUCCGAUAUCGCAACGGAAUUCUACACCUUAUUCUGCAUUCCUUUUAUCGCUGCAGUGAGUGCCGAUGUGAUAUUUAUGGACGAUAACAUCCACCCACAUACAGCUUGAGUGGUGAGGCAUUAUCUGGAGAGUGAAACCAUUUCACAUCUGCCAUGGCAUGCUACAUCACUUGACCUGAAUCCAAGAGAGCAUGUGUAGGACAACAGAUAAGCAGGUCGCCAUGUGCCAACAGGCACCCUCCACAUUUUUGCAUACUGAAAAUAAAAAUAUAUGCUUUUAGGUCAAGAAAAUAAUGAUGUAAAAUAUUAUAGAUGUUAUCGGAAUUAAAAUUUACAUUAUAAUGCAUACACUUGUAACAAAAGCUUUAAUCAUACAGUUGUUAGGAACAUAUCAGAAAUUAAAACAGUAUGCCAGAAUCAGGCAAAUACAAACUUCCUCACAUCAAAAUAUAUUUAAAGCAUGAACAAAAUUUUAUCAAAAAUACAGUUACACUUUUACCAGAAGUUUUCACAUAAUGAAUUAAGAAUAAUAUUGAAUACAGCGAAUUCAGGAAGCUUUAACAAUUAAGUGCAUAGUACGAAAUUUAAAAUAGCAGGAUUUAAAUUCAGUUUUUCUCACGAGCAAAUAUCAAGUUAUAUAAUAAAGUGCAAGUAAGAUGCAAACUUCUUUCUUACAAAAGAGAAGAAACUCAUUAAUUCAUUACAGAUAAAAAAAAUCAUUAACAAAAUCAAAGAUUUUAUUCUAUUUAAAUUAUAAUACUUCCGAGUUAUAAAAUUACAAAAUUCUGUACAAGAGUAGAAGUACAAAAGAGCUGUUAAGUGUUUUUAGCAGCUCAUGUAAGUAAAUAAGAAGGCCUUCACUAAAAUAAAAGGCACAUUAUGGCGCUUACAACAAGACUAGAUAUAAAUAAGUUAUAAAUACUUCCCAGCAGUAAAUAUACCUGAUAUAAAUAAACACUAAGUAAUAAUUUACAUUUCUAUAAAUAGAAGUUUGAAAACAAACAGUGCACAACCUAAAUAAAAGAAAAAAAAAAAACACUUAAAAUAUUAAAAUGAGUUUUGAAAACAUAAAAAAAUAAAUAAAUAAAUAAAUUCAAGAUCUGAUUUUCAGAUAAUUAUGAAAUUUUUUGAAUCAAAGGCAUAUUGAUAUAAAUUGGGAGUUAUUUUUUAUUAUACAGAAUAAAUUUAUGAGGUACAAAUAUUUUGAGGUUUGAUCAAUAUAAAAAAUGCAGCAGGGAAAAGUUACUUUUGAUUAAAAUAUUUAUUCUAAAGAAAUGUAUUCAGUUCAAUGAUAUUGUACGACACAUCAGAAAAGUGAGCAGUCGAUUUUAUUUA
rnacentral:lncRNA from 1 species